rnacentral:rRNA from 1 species
CACGUAGGGCGCGAGCGUUGUCCGGAAUUAUUGGGCGUAAAGAGCUCGUAGGCGGUUUGUCGCGUCUGCCGUGAAAGUCCGGGGCUCAACUCCGGAUCUGCGGUGGGUACGGGCAGACUAGAGUGCGGUAGGGGGAGACUGGAAUUCCUGGUGUAGCGGUGAAAUGCGCAGAUAUCAGGAGGAACACCGGUGGCGAAGGCGGGUCUCUGGGCCGUAACUGACGCUGAGGAGCGAAAGCGUGGGGAGCAAACAGG